GACUCCAUAGCUAAGUGGUUAUAGCAUGAGAUUGCAGCGGUUACCGCAAUGGUCCAAGCAUCAUUUAAUCUCGGGGUCGCGUGUUCGAGUCACGCUGGGGUCU